CAAGGAAUUAUUUGGUUUAUUUAACAAGUAAAACCAGCCCAAAUCAAAAUUAUUAUGGCCCAACAUUGAGUCCAAUUAAUACUCGCCCUUCGUCCUCUCGACUCCUCUCCGUCAAAUCCCUAGCUUGACAAAUCUGGUUUCUCUCUCUUUCCUUCGAUUUUUGCUGCGGCCAUGGCAUCACCGGUGGCGACGCCGGUUGCCUCUCGCGAUCUGUCUACCGUACCUCUCGAUCGCCGCCAUCGCUGCUCUCUCUCUUCCCUCCAUCAACACCACCGCCAUCCAACGCCUUCGACCACUCCCACCGUGGCUAAGCACGGUGGUGGUCGCCACUGCAUGCGGUGGUAACACCGCCUUCUGCCCUCGUCGGAUCUACUCGACGCUGCUAUGGCCAGCCCCUCCUUCACGUAAUCACGUGUGCUGUCAGCCUUGUCAAGAUUGGAUAGAUCGUGAAACUGUCGCUAUCGGGAUUGGCUCGGCGUAGCUGCCGCCCUCUUACUGCCGGUGUGCCGUCGCUGGAGCGCCAUGCCGGAAAUCCGGGAAGCCCUCUAACCAUGUAGUUAUUUAAUUCCAUAGGCCUUUGCUUAUUACUCUCAUGUUUUUAGGCUACUUAGAGCAUAUUUAUUGAAUAUUUAUUGAACAAAUCAUAAGUUUGGUGUUCUUAAAUCUUGGUUUGGAAGUUGUAUGUAAAUUAUGUAUUACUGUUAGA